rnacentral:rRNA from 1 species
CCUACGGGGGGCAGCAGUGGGGAAUAUUGGACAAUGGGCGAAAGCCUGAUCCAGCCAUGCCGCGUGUGUGAAGAAGGCCUUCGGGUUGUAAAGCACUUUCAGUGGGGAAGAAAGCCUUGGGGCUAAUACCCUCGAGGAAGGACAUCACCCACAGAAGAAGCACCGGCAACUCCGUGCCAGCAGCCGCGGUAAUACGGAGGGUGCGGGCGUUAAUCGGAAUUACUGGGCGUAAAGCGCGCGUAGGCGGUCUGAUAAGCCGGUUGUGAAAGCCCCGGGCUCAACCUGGGAACGGCAUCCGGAACUGUCAGGCUAGAGUGCAGGAGAGGAAGGUAGAAUUCCCGGUGUAGCGGUGAAAUGCGUAGAGAUCGGGAGGAAUACCAGUGGCGAAGGCGGCCUUCUGGACUGACACUGACGCUGAGGUGCGAAAGCGUGGGUAGCAAACAGGAUUAGAUACCCCGGUAGUC